rfam:Jonquetella anthropi DSM 22815 chromosome, whole genome shotgun sequence.
UCAGCGGUACAGGAAGUCGCCGCCCUGCCGGGCUUUGCCGGGCAGGGGAGAGGAAAGUCCGGGCUCCACAGGGCAAGACGCUGGAUAACGUCCAGUUGGAGCGAUCCACAGGAUAGUGCCACAGAGAGCAGACCGCCGCCUGCGGUCCCCGCAGCGGUAAGGGUGAAAGGGUGGGGUAAGAGCCCACCGGGCGUUCGGCGACGAACGUGCUAGGCAAACCCCGUCUGGAGCAAGAUCAAAUAGGGAGGGUUGAGGCUGCCCGCUGACCUCCGGGUAUGGUCGCUUGAGGGCCGGUGCAAAUCGGCUCCUAGAGAAAUGACUUCCCACGACAGAACCCGGCUUAUGGACCACUGGAUUC